rnacentral:rRNA from 1 species
UAAGGAAUAUUGGUCAAUGGGCGGAAGCCUGAACCAGCCAUCCCGCGUGCAGGAUGAAGGCCCUAUGGGCUGUAAACUGCUUUAGACUGAGAAGAAACCCCUCAAUGCGUUGGGGGCUGACGGUAUCAGUAGAAUAAGCACCGGCUAACUCCGUGCCAGCAGCCGCGGUAAUACGGAGGGUGCAAGCGUUAUCCGGAAUCACUGGGUUUAAAGGGUGCGUAGGCGGCUUGAUAAGUCAGAGGUGAAAGCCCGCAGCUUAACUGCGGAACUGCCUUUGAUACUGUUGAGCUUGAAACAGGACGAGGUUGGCGGAAUGUGGCAUGUAGCGGUGAAAUGCAUAGAUAUGCCAUAGAACACCGAUUGCGAAGGCAGCUGGCUAGACCUGAUUUGACGCUGAGGCAC